rnacentral:lncRNA from 1 species
UCGAUUUAAAAAUUUAAAGGGGUAAUCGACUUUUGAAAAACAAAUGCAUGGAGUCGUCACUGAUCGUUUGUUUUGGUGUGAUCGGAUCACCUAAAAAUUUGGUUAUUUUAAUAAAACAUUUAUGAUUUACUAAAACAACAAUUUUGGUCUACAAAAAUUUUAGAAAACGGGCUCGGGAGUCGGUUACGCAUGAGGAAGGAUUAGCACCCUCACUACGCCCAAAAUUGGUACCAAAUCGAUUAAAUACUGUCCUUAUGUCUAAAAUUAAAAAUGUUUUUGAAAUGUGGCUUUUUUAAUAAAAGUUGAAUAACCCGAGUUAAUUGUCAAAAAUCUUCUUGUUUCGAUGUCUGGAAAUUUAUAAUUCGAAAAUCACGAAAGGAUGCACAACCAACGAAAAAUCGAAACCUAGCACAGUAGGGCACGAUUCUUCGAAUUCCCAAACAUUGAUCAUUGCCUCACUUUGGAAAAUACGAGUGAAAUCCCGGAGAGAUAUUUGAUUAUUUCGGUCAGACGGGAGAUUGCAACCCAGCACGAUAGGGUACUAUUUCCCGAACUGCCCAAACAUCAAACACUUCUUUCGUUUUAAAGGGUUUUUAGAAAACGUGGAUGAAACUUCAAAGGGAUCUUCGAUUGCUUAGAAUAAAUGAAAAAGCGCAACCCAACACGAUAGGGCACGAUUCUCAAAUAUCCAAUCAUCGAACAUCCUUUGUUUUGAAAGGUUUUUAAUAAGCAUGGGUGAAAACCUAAAGGAAUAUUCGAUUGUUUUUGAACAAACGAGAAAUCACAACCCAGCACGAUAAGGUAUGAUUCUCGAAUCAUCAAACACCGAGUAUUGCCUUUAUUUGCGAAAAAUCUUAUUUCGAGGUAACAACAUGUUAUACCCGGUAAGUUAGGGCACCACACCUCGUAUCUCCAAAAAUAAACAUUUUUUUUAAACUCACAUUGUGAUUAAAAGGAAUAUUCCAUUAUUUAGGUUAAAUAAGAAAAAUCGAAACCCAGUAAGUUAGGGUACGAUUAUCUCGAAUUAUCUAAUACGGAAUAUUACUUUUAUGAAAGAAUUGUUUUAAUAUAUUGAGUAAGAAAAAUAACGUGAUUUAUAGUAAAACAUAAAAGCAAAUUAUAAUAUUAAUAUGAAUAAUAACAUUAUAGGUGCGACAGUAUCAAAAACGAUAAUAUGAGUAAUUAUAAAAGAUGAAGUAAUAGCAAGACUAGUAAUAUGUAAAUAUAAACAAAUGCAUGAGGAAAAUAAAAUGAUCGAAGACAUAAGCAAAUUAAC